AAGUGAAGAGGUUGGGGAAAAAGCAUAGAGAGAAAGAAGAGGGGGGAUGGGGGAGAGGGGGAGGAGGGGUUAUUGUUGGUCAUCGGUGAUGUUGAGAGCCGUCGGGAAAGUGAUAGAGAGAGACGAGCUGGGUCGAGGGCGGAGAGAGGGAGAGCUAAGGGAGAGGGGAGGUGAUUCUGUUGGGGAGAAGUAGAGAGCGGGGGAAGGUGGUUGUAUCACUGGCCUUCGGGUUGUCGACAGACACUGAGAGAGAGAGAGGUACUGUUGUCAGAGGUGAGGGGAAGAUUGCGGCGAGGGAGACAAAAGAGGGAGUUACUACAACGAGAUGUGUAGGAGGAGGGGACAAUACGACACGAGCAUGAGGAUUGAUACCAUUCAUAUAAUUGGUUGGUUAUUUUUUUUACCUCUUUCAUUAUUUUAAACCUCUCAUUUUGUGCAUUGAGAAAGAAAAAUCUGGUUUUAAAAUGAUUAAUGCAAGUGAAUAUGCCAUUUCAAGCAUUCAACUUUACUAUGUCUUUUUUUUGGUUCUAUAUUGAAGUAUGCUAAUAUUUUGUAAUUAAUUGUACUUUCUCUGUGAUACUGCUUCGAUCUGAGCUUCGCACUGUGGAGCAUUUUUGAAAGUCUUCUCAAGAUUGUAUCUUGAUCUUGUACGGUACUAAAUAUUUGUCCAGCGUUGUGCAGGAGAGAAGAUCAAGGAAAGCAUGCAAUCAUGUGGAAAAUGAAAAAUAAGCUUGUAGUAAACUGGUGUGAGCUAUGAUGAUGGAUGGUUUUGGUACUUGCUAGUUGCUGCAUCUAUUGGUUCAUUUGUCCUCGGCAGAAAAUCGGAACUUUGACAUAUUCCAAGAUUGGCAGUACACAAGAACCUUAAGCGAUGUGGGACUGACGAAGUGCAUUGAUGAGAAUAAGACCUGGUGGCUGCUUUGAAGCAUUUUAUUAGUGUCGAGGAUACGCAUUGGUGGUUUGAGUUUUGAGUGUGGUAUAAUGAAAUUCAUGGAUGCCCCUUUUAUUGUCAAUUCAUAGAUGGCAACAGGGAAAUAGGUACUCUAAUCGGGUGCUGGAUGAGUUUUGGUACAAGUAUCUUGCUUUUGCGAUUGGAUGGGUUUUGGCACAUUGCAUUUUGGAUUCAUGAAUUGCUGGCAUAACACUUUUUUUUGUGUAGUGCAUGUUCUACUCUCAAAUGGUGAUUGUGCAUUUUUGAGGUGAUUGUGCAGCUCCCAAAUGGUUCAAAUAUUGGACAAAAACUUGCAUACUACAUACUACCUAGAUGAUCCAGGAAAGCAUGUAAAAUGGACUUUAUGGUAAACUAGGGUGGGCUGAGAGAGGAAUGAUUUUGCUCUUUCUAGUUUCUGCCACUAUCCAUUCGAUUGUCCUUGACAAAACAAUGGAAAUGCAAUAGCAUCCAAGAUUGGUAUUGGAUCUCAAGCAUCAUGUUUGCUGAUUAGAAUUUCGUGUCAAGAGCUCAGCAUCUGUCUUCUUUCUUCAUAAACUUUUUUCCUUUUAUUCAGCACUUUUCUUUAAUAUCUUAUUGUUCACUAUUCUAGUUUUAGGAGUACAUGGGGACCUUGAGUGUUGUGACAUGAAAGAAAUGCAU